AUGUAUGGUGUUGGACUGAUUCCACCAAGUUUAACUUAUAUGCAUGGCUGGAUGACACACAGAGAAAGAAUGAACAUUGUGCGCUAUUGCUCCACGGCACAAAUUACAUUGCAUGGGACAGCAGAAAUUGUGAAACCAAGAGCCCCUACCUUUGUAGAUCAACACCACAAAUUAUUGUUCGUGAGUGCUAACAAGGAGGAACCCUGGCUGGCUGUCUAGAAGAACCUGCACCCAGAGGGAUGUCAACUCCUUCCAUGACUGCUAAACUCACCUGCUACUCAUCUAUAGGCUGAAAUCCCAAAUAAACAGUAGAACUUGCAACUCUA